rnacentral:pre_miRNA from 1 species
CUACUACUCCCUCCAUUCCAUAAUUCUUGUCGAAAUAUUACAUGUAUCUAGACGCUUUUUAGUAACAGAUACAUCCAUUUUUGGACAAAUUUGAGAUAAGAAUAAUGGAAAGGAGGGAGUAUAUA